rnacentral:lncRNA from 1 species
GCACGCUGAAUACAUAGGCCAUACUAUGUAUCAUAAAACAGUCAAGCUCGAACUGGUACCAAUUCAGAACCGGCCACUCAGGGUAGACAUGAGAUGGUCUCAACAGAACUUCCUGCGGUACCGCACGAAAAUAAAAACCUAAUAUGAUCCGACGUACAAUUACGGGAAACGAUCAUAACCCCUUAAUCUUGCCAGAUCCUGACAUCCUUUUUUACUUUGACGAAUGAUUUUAUUACAAAAUAUAAAUGAAUAAUUAGAAUCAAGUAAUCAAGAUAAAUGCUGCAUGAUCUUUAUCCAAAUAAAGUCAAAAGUUAAAUGCAUUCCAGGCGAAGAACUAAUAGCAGGUAUUGAUAAUUCCAUUCUGACACUACUGGUGUCUGAAUAUUUAGAUAAAGGUGAUAGCCAUUCAUGAAAAAUUACAUUGACAUAUAUAGUUCUCGAACGUAUGAUUCAGCUAGCAAAUCCAUCGGCUUGUUUGUCUCCUCUUUUUUGUCAAAAAAAAUAUAGAUCCGGCCUGUUCUGGUCAUUCUGAAAAGAUACAAAACAGCAGCAGACACAAGAAUUGUUAUUAGAUGGGAGAUUGCAAGGGAGGUGGGUGGGUUUUUGAAACUUUUACAUAUCUGGCUACAAGAGUGGCUAGUGCAAUGUAAUGCUGACGAGUCAUGUGACGUUGAUUGGCGGGAAACGAGAACCGGAUCCGAUUUAGAUGCAGUAAUCAUUUCUUUUUAAUUAAAUUGGUUUAUCUUAUGAAAGAGAUAAACCGUAUUAAUCAAAGAAUCAAGUUUCAGGCAAAAACAUAACAAACAAAUAACUAAUGUGGAAAUAACGGCCACAGUUCACUUAGAAUGACGAGGUCUGACAUGAUUACAGAAUGCCGACAUGAUUGAUUUUAUCUGACAAAUCUGUGCACCAUUGGUAGCAAUGGAUGCUCAAGUUCCUCAAGGUUCAGCCUAAAGAGAACGAGGGUUAUGAUCCCCAAAUACGUCGGGUCUUAUUCGCAUCACCCCUUGGUUUCAGGGGAGUAAAGAUUAACAGUUUCUAUAUCAUAAAACUCUAUAUGCACACUGAAUACAUAGGCCAUACUAUGUAUCAUAAAACAGUCAAGCUCGAACUGGUACCAAUUCAGAACCGGCCACUCAGGGUAGACAUGAGAUGGUCUCAACAGAACUUCCUGCGGUACCGCAGGAAAGUAAAAACCUAAUAUGAUCCGACGUACAAUUACGGGAAACGAUCAUAACCCCUUAAUCUUGCCACUUGAGUGUGUCUAUACACAAUCAUCAAAAUCCCCCCCCCCCUUUCCUUUU